UGAAAUACCACUACUUUUA
rnacentral:snRNA from 1 species